rnacentral:rRNA from 1 species
CGGGAGGCAGCAGUGGGGAAUUUUGGACAAUGGGGGAAACCCUGAUCCAGCAAUGCCGCGUGUGUGAAGAAGGCCUUCGGGUUGUAAAGCACUUUUGUCCGGAAAGAAAUCCUUUGGGCUAAUACCUCGGGGGGAUGACGGUACCGGAAGAAUAAGCACCGGCUAACUACGUGCCAGCAGCCGCGGUAAUACGUAGGGUGCGAGCGUUAAUCGGAAUUACUGGGCGUAAAGCGUGCGCAGGCGGUUUGUUAAGACAGAUGUGAAAUCCCCGGGCUUAACCUGGGAACUGCAUUUGUGACUGGCAAGCUAGAGUAUGGCAGAGGGGGGUAGAAUUCCACGUGUAGCAGUGAAAUGCGUAGAGAUGUGGAGGAAUACCGAUGGCGAAGGCAGCCCCCUGGGCCAAUACUGACGCUCAUGCACGAAAGCGUGGGGAGCAAACAGGAUUAGAUACCCUGGUAGUCCACGCCCUAAAAAGAGGUCAACUAGUUGUUGGGGAUUCAUUUCCUUAGUAACGUAGCUAACGCGUG